AACCUUCCCCAGCUGCAUGAGGACUCCUGAGAGCUUCUUGAUGAACUUAUAUUUGACAGAGAAAUUCAUAUAGCAAUAAAGUACCUUAAAACCUGGAAAACACCAGGCCCUUACAGCUUUACCACAGAAUAUUAUAAAACUUUGAAACAUCAAAUUAGUCCCACUCAAAAACCUAUUCAAUAAAAUACAUUUGGAAGACCUACCGAGGGUAGCCCAUAAUCAAG